rnacentral:ribozyme from 12 species
AGAAGAAAAGAAAGAGAAAAGAAAAAAAAAGAAGGCAAAGGAUGCCUUUCUUUUUUUUUUUUUUUUUUUU